AUGCACGCUGGCGGCGUGCUUAACACAUGCAAGUCGAACGAUGAAGCCCAGCUUGCUGGGUGGAUUAGUGGCGAACGGGUGAGUAACACGUGAGUAACCUGCCCUUAACUCUGGGAUAAGCCUGGGAAACUGGGUCUAAUACCGGAUAGGAGCGCCUACCGCAUGGUGGGUGUUGGAAGGAUUUAUCGGUUUUGGAUGGACUCGCGGCCUAUCAGCUUGUUGGUGAGGUAAUGGCUCACCAAGGCGACGACGGGUAGCCGGCCUGAGAGGGUGACCGGCCACACUGGGACUGAGACACGGCCCAGACUCCUACGGGAGGCAGCAGUGGGGAAUAUUGCACAAUGGGCGAAAGCCUGAUGCAGCGACGCCGCGUGAGGGAUGACGGCCUUCGGGUUGUAAACCUCUUUCAGUAGGGAAGAAGCGAAAGUGACGGUACCUGCAGAAGAAGCACCGGCUAACUACGUG
rnacentral:rRNA from 1 species